CGGCAUCAUUCUUCGGUGCACGAGGGAUAUGAGCAGAGAGCUCAUUAAUCAGUGCUCCCUCGCCAGUGCCGCCUGCCCGCAUGGAAUGUUAGUUAGUCGCACAACUGCCUGCCUCCCUUCCUUCCACUGGACCCCAGGUUAAAAAAAAAUGAAAAUAGAAAAAGUAAUGGUUAAUGUUUGGGGAGACGGGGGGAGAGGGAAGGGGGCUGUCAGUGUGUGUAUGUCUGAGUGAUUGUGUGUGUCUGGCUGUCAGUGUGUGUAUGUCUGUCAGUGUGUCUGUCACCGUGUGGCUGUCUGUCACUGAGUGAGAGUGUGUAUGUGUGUCUGUCAGUGAAUACGUGUUUGUUUCCGAGUGAUUGUGUCUGUGAGGGUGCCUGUGUGUCUGAGUGAUUGUGUGUGUGUCUGUCAGUGAAUGUGUGUGUGUGUGUCAGUGAAUAUGUUUGUUUCUGAGUGAUUGUGUCUGUGAGGGCGUCUGUGUGUCUGAGUGAUUGUGUAUACCUGUCAGUGUGUGUGUCUGCAUCAUUGUGUGUGUAUGUCAGUGAUUGUGUGUAUGUCAGUGAGUCAGUGAUUGUUUGUGUCAAACCAGUUUUUGUAUGUCAUUGUAUCUGAGAGUGUGUCUGUCAGUCAAAGUGUGUGUUAGUCGUUUAACAGGAAGAGGUGCGGC